UCGGAUGUGGUGUACGGUGCACACCUGCUCUAAAUAGUAGUGCGACAAGAGAGUGACUGGUUGCAGGAAGCCCGGGUUCGAUUCCCGGCGUCCGAA